GAUGUUUUAUAGAAAAAUAGAGCAAUAAAUCAAAUAAAGAAUUUAAAGAAAAUAGAGCAAUAAAUCAAAUCAAUUUCAGCGCUGUUUUAUAGAAAAAUAAAGCAAUAAAUCAAAUAAAUUUAAGCAACUUAGCAGAAUUGCAGAUUAACAUUUCUUGUUUUAUGUGUGCAGGUGCUCUUCGACAUUCUUUACAGGAUAGACUUAGCAAAAUUUCAAGCAAAAGUCGUGAUGAAAUAUAUUUGAAAGAAGAAGAAAAACAGAGCAUAGUCUGGUCGCGAAAAACAGAGCUGUUGUUGCUGCUGCCUGGACAGUGCUGGUCGCGAAAGAGAAAAGAAGAAAGAAGAAAGAAAAAAGAAGAAAGAAAGAAAAACAGAGUCUGGUCGCGAAAGAGAAUGAAAAAUUAAGCAUAGUCUGGUCGCGAAAAACAGAGCAUAGUCUGGCUCUGGUCGCGAAAAAUAGAGUUGUUGCUGCCUGGACACAGUGCUGGUCGUGAAAGAGAAAAGAAGAAAGAAGAAAGA
rnacentral:lncRNA from 1 species